UACGUAGGGUGCGAGCGUUGUCCGGAAUUAUUGGGCGUAAAGAGCUUGUAGGCGGUUUGUCGCGUCUGCUGUGAAAAUCCGGGGCUCAACCCCGGACUUGCAGUGGGUACGGGCAGACUAGAGUGUGGUAGGGGAGACUGGAAUUCCUGGUGUAGCGGUGAAAUGCGCAGAUAUCGGGAGGAACACCGGUGGCGAAGGCGGUUCUCUGGGCCUGUACUGACGCUGAGGUGCGAAAGCAUGGGUAGCAAACAGG
rnacentral:rRNA from 1 species